rnacentral:pre_miRNA from 1 species
CUACUACUCCCUCCGUCCGAAAAUACUUGUCAUUGAAAUGGAUGUAUCUAGAUGUAUUUUAGUUCUAGACACAUCCAUUUUGAUGACAAAUAAUUCCGAAUGGAGGGAGUAUUAU